rnacentral:rRNA from 1 species
AACGAACGCUGGCGGCAGGCCUAACACAUGCAAGUCGAGCGCCCCGCAAGGGGAGCGGCGGACGGGUGAGUAACGCGUGGGAAUAUGCCCUUUGCUACGGAAUAGUCUCGGGAAACUGGGGGUAAUACCGUAUACGCCCUUUGGGGGAAAGAUUUAUCGGCGAAGGAUUAGCCCGCGUUGGAUUAGGUAGUUGGUGGGGUAAUGGCCUACCAAGCCGACGAUCCAUAGCUGGUUUGAGAGGAUGAUCAGCCACACUGGGACUGAGACACGGCCCAGACUCCUACGGGAGGCAGCAGUGGGGAAUCUUAGACAAUGGGGGCAACCCUGAUCUAGCCAUGCCGCGUGAGUGAUGGGGGCCUUAGGGUUGUAAAGCUCUUUCAGCUGGGAAGAUAAUGACGGUACCAGCAGAAGAAGCCCCGGCUAACUCCGUG